ACCAUUCAUUUCGACGAUCAACCAGUUUCUCUACUAGUCUCUUUUCUUCCUCCUUUUCUUCCUCAUUGUUUACAACUUGUUCCCUUUUUCGUUAGUAUUCUGUAUUUUUUGUGAAGAAGCCAAUUCGCAGAGCAAGAGCGUCUAUAAAAGAUGGCGCAAAUUGCAUUGAAGGUUGGCGAUAGAAAAUAAAAUCUGAGCGAUUCUCCGUGCCUAUCAAAUCUCUUUCGUUUUGAUUAUGGCCUCGAACAAGUCGCUACAUUCAAUUCUUCUCCUCUCUCUCUCUUUCUCUCUGAAAUUCCGAUCUUAUUUUCUAUGCACUUUUUUCUGUCUUUUGGUUGUGUUUUUAAUGGGAGAAGGACAUGCACAUGAUUUUGGAAAUGAAAAGAAAAAAGUAUUGUUCGUGGAAUUCCCCUGAAGGCUGUGUAAAACUUCAUCCCCAGAGCAGCCAUUGUUACACCGAAGCAAUUUGGAAUCUCUCUGCAAACAUAAAUGGUUCGAUCCUAACAUGAUUCUCACUUUCGGAAAACACCAAACCUGCAGAGAAUCAACUGGGCAAAGAAAGAUCAGCGGAGUCAAGCAGGCUGAUUUCCUCCGCUGCCCAAACACAUUGCAGAAUUCAU